rnacentral:rRNA from 1 species
GAUGAACGCUGGCGGCGUGCCUAAUACAUGCAAGUCGAGCGAACGGACGAGAAGCUUGCUUCUCUGAUGUUAGCGGCGGACGGGUGAGUAACACGUGGAUAACCUACCUAUAAGACUGGGAUAACUUCGGGAAACCGGAGCUAAUACCGGAUGAUAUUUUGAACCGCAUGGUUCAAAAGUGAAAGACGGUCUUGCUGUCACUUAUAGAUGGAUCCGCGCUGCAUUAGCUAGUUGGUAAGGUAACGGCUUACCAAGGCAACGAUGCAUAGCCGACCUGAGAGGGUGAUCGGCCACACUGGAACUGAGACACGGUCCAGACUCCUACGGGAGGCAGCAGUAGGGAAUCUUACGCAAUGGGCGAAAGCCUGACGGAGCAACGCCGCGUGAGUGAUGAAGGUCUUCGGAUCGUAAAACUCUGUUAUUAGGGAAGAACAUAUGUGUAAGUAACUGUGCACAUCUUGACGGUACCUAAUCAGAAAGCCACGGCUAACUACGUG